rnacentral:rRNA from 1 species
CCUACGGGGGGCAGCAGUGGGGAAUAUUGGACAAUGGGGGGAACCCUGAUCCAGCCAUGCCGCGUGUGUGAAGAAGGCCCUCGGGUUGUAAAGCACUUUCAGUGAGGAAGAACGCCUGGUGGUUAAUACCCAUCAGGAAAGACAUCACUCACAGAAGAAGCACCGGCUAACUCCGUGCCAGCAGCCGCGGUAAUACGGAGGGUGCGAGCGUUAAUCGGAAUUACUGGGCGUAAAGCGCGCGUAGGUGGCUUGAUAAGCCGGUUGUGAAAGCCCCGGGCUCAACCUGGGAACGGCAUCCGGAACUGUCAAGCUAGAGUGCAGGAGAGGAAGGUAGAAUUCCCGGUGUAGCGGUGAAAUGCGUAGAGAUCGGGAGGAAUACCAGUGGCGAAGGCGGCCUUCUGGACUGACACUGACACUGAGGUGCGAAAGCGUGGGUAGAAAACAGGAUUAGAUACCCUAGUAGUC